rnacentral:rRNA from 1 species
GAUGAACGCUGGCGGCGUGCCUAAUACAUGCAAGUCGAGCGAAUGGAUUAAGAGCUUGCUCUUAUGAAGUUAGCGGCGGACGGGUGAGUAACACGUGGGUAACCUGCCCAUAAGACUGGGAUAACUCCGGGAAACCGGGGCUAAUACCGGAUAACAUUUUGAACCGCAUGGUUCGAAAUUGAAAGGCGGCUUCGGCUGUCACUUAUGGAUGGACCCGCGUCGCAUUAGCUAGUUGGUGAGGUAACGGCUCACCAAGGCAACGAUGCGUAGCCGACCGGAGAGGGUGGUCGGCCACACUGGGACGGAGAAACGGCCCAGACUCCUACGGGAGGCAGCAGUAGGGAAUCUUCCGCAAUGGACGAAAGUCUGACGGAGCAACGCCGCGUGAGUGAUGAAGGCUUUCGGGUCGUAAAACUCUGUUGUUAGGGAAGAACAAGUGCUAGUUGAAUAAGCUGGCACCUUGACGGUACCUAACCAGAAAGCCACGGCUAACUACGUGCCAGCCGCCGCAGUAA